CCCCUAGACGUUCUGGGCUGCACGCGCGCUACAAUAAUACGCACAGCGAGUAUCACCGAGCUCGAAAGGGCAAGGUAAACAAUAGAAAAGGUACUGUAAUGGUUAUAGAUCCUUGUAAUUAUUGAUCUUCAACGAGGAAUUCCUAGUAAGUAUGUGUCAUCAUCACGCACCGAUUACGUCCCUGCCCUUUGUACACACCGCCCGUCGCUCCUACCGAUUGGGUGAGCCGAUGAAACUCUCGGAUGUAGGCUAUUCAUAGCCCGCAGAAGAGAUUUGAAUCGUAGCGCUUAGAGGAAGGAGAAGUCGUAACA
rnacentral:rRNA from 1 species